UCCAUCGUGAGGUGAGAACUGAAGGAAGUCCUAGGCAAAAUUCCGACCCAAGGAAUACGAAUAUUUUCAGGCAACUAUUUGUGGAUGAGUCUGCAAAACAAGACAAAGUCCUAUAACUACACAGAGCAAAUAGGUGUAUAAAAUGUGGGUACAUGGAAGGAAAGUGAAUUGU
rfam:Methanosarcina sp. Ant1 MSANT_contig000133, whole genome shotgun sequence.